GAUGAACGCUGCCGGCGUGCUAAUCAUGCAAGUAGAACGCUAAGCUUGGUGCUUGCACCGAGCGGAGGAGUUGCGAACGGGUGAGUAACGCGUAGGUAACCUGCCUUUAGCGGGGGAUAACUAUUGAAACGAUAGCUAAUCCGCAUAAAAGUCGACAUUGCAUGAUGUUGACUUGAAAGGUGCAAAUGCAUCACUAAGAGAUGGACCUGCGUUGUAUUAGCUAGUUGGUGAGGUACGGCUCACCGAGGCGACGAUACAUAGCCGACCUGAGAGGGUAUCGGCCACACUGGGACUGAGACACGGCCCAGACUCCUACGGGAGGCAGCAGUAGGGAAUCUUCGGCAAUGGGGGCAACCCUGACCGAGCAACGCCGCGUGAGUGAAGAAGGUUUUCGGAUCGUAAAGCUCUGUUGUAAGAGAAGAACGAGUGUGAGAGUGGAAAGUUCACACUGUGACGGUAACUUACCAGAAAGGGCGGGA
rnacentral:rRNA from 1 species